rnacentral:rRNA from 1 species
UACGAAGGGGGCUAGCGUUGCUCGGAAUCACUGGGCGUAAAGCGCACGUAGGCGGACUCUUAAGUCAGGGGUGAAAUCCUGGAGCUCAACUCCAGAACUGCCUUUGAUACUGGGAGUCUUGAGUUCGGGAGAGGUGAGUGGAACUGCGAGUGUAGAGGUGAAAUUCGUAGAUAUUCGCAGGAACACCAGUGGCGAAGGCGGCUCACUGGCCCGAUACUGACGCUGAGGUGCGAAAGCGUGGGGAGCAAACAGG